UCACCCUCGCCUUCCCUCUACCCGCGCGCGUUGUAGCGUCCCCUGGAGUCUGUUCUGGAGGAGGCCUGAGAGCUGGGUUGCCUGAGACGUGGGGCCCGCACCCCUCUCGUCGUGGUGAAGAAAAACAGUAUCCCCAGCGGGAACCUUGAGGCAAGGGGAGGCUGUGGUUUGGACCAUGAUUAAGCUUUUUUUCCAGCCAAUCCAUCUUCUCUACCAGUGUCACCAGCUGUGUAGCAUCCUUUAAUGGCUUCCUGCUAUCUCUAAGAUAAACUCCAAACUUCCUAGCAUGGCCCAUGGGGCACUUUGUGACCUGGACCCUGUCUUUUCAGAAUCCCACUCAGAAUCCCAGCUCCACCACUUCUCAGGUAUGGACUUGGGUGUGUAGAGUUUGGGGUAUUAGGGAGUGUGGCCCUCUCCCAUAACGACAGAGGCUCUUUCACUGCCAAAUCUAACUCCCAGAUACUCUUGAUAUACCUGAGCAACCGCAUGCCUGCCGUGGCUCCCAGGGAAAAAUAAAAAGAAAAAAGGAAAGAAAGUUGGCAGAGGAGGAUAGAAGACAGCAUGAGGAAGAACUAGAUGGUCAGAAGACAAAGAGAGAACAAAGUCGCCAUGUUAUAUUUCAUGAGUGUACUAAAUGUACCAG